AUGCUCAUACAAGUUUCGUUCAAGAUUCAUUGGUUGAAAAGGAAAAAUCUAAAAUGUCAAAAAACAUUACAAAUAUGUGUUCUUACAAAAGAAGCAAGUGAAAAUUAUAAAGAAACUACAAGUAUUUUCAAUGAUUUUAUGCUCCCUCUAAUCUUGUUUUGCCUUCAAUCUUUCCAACUCUCAAAUCAUGUCCAGGCUUUCAAUUAG